rnacentral:rRNA from 1 species
GAUGAACGCUGGCGGCGUGCCUAAUACAUGCCAGUCGAGCGAACGGACGAGAAGCUUGCUUCUCUGAUGUUAGCGGCGGACGGGUGAGUAACACGUGGAUAACCUACCUAUAAGACUGGGAUAACUUCGGGAAACCGUAGCUAAUACCGGAUAAUAUUUUGAACCGCAUGGUUCAAAAGUGAAAGACGGUCUUUCUGUCACUUAUAGAUGGAUCCGCGCUGCAUUAGCUAGUUGGUAAGGUGACGGCUUACCAAGGCAACGAUGCAUAGCCGACCUGAGAGGGUGAUCAGCCACACUGGAUCUGAGACACGGUCCAGACUCCGACGGGAGGCAGCAGUAGGGAAUCUUACGCAAUGGGCGAAAGCCUGACGGAGCAACGCCGCGUGAGUGAUGAAGGUCUUCGGAUCGUAAAACUCUGUUAUUAGGGAAGAACAUAUGUGUAAGUAACUGUGCACAUCUUGACGGUACCUAAUCAGAAAGCCACGGCUAACUACGUG